UUAAAAGUUAUUAAGGGCGUAUGGCGGAUGCCUAGGCUCUCAUAGGCUAUGAAGGACGUGACAAGCUGCGAUAAGUUUCGAUAAGAUGCAAAUAAUCUUUGAGUCGAAAAUUUCCGAAUGGGGAAACCCAAUUAUUUGAAGAAUAAUUAUCCUAUUUAUAGGAAGCUAACCUGGUGAACUGAAACAUCUAAGUAACCAGAGGAAGAGAAAACAAUAGUGAUUCCCUGAGUAGUGGCGAACGAAAAGGGAAUAGCCCAAACCAAGAUUAUUUCGGUAAUUUUGGGGUUGUAGGACUACGAUAUGAAAUAUAAAUUUAUAAAAGAAUGCUUUGGAAAGAGCAACCAUAGAGGGUGAUAGUCCCGUAUUUGAAAUAGAUUUAUUAUCUAGUAGUAUCCUGAGUAGGGCGGGACACGUGAAAUCCUGUCUGAAUCUGCCGGGACCAUCCGGUAAGGCUAAAUACUAAUGAGAGACCGAUAGUGAACAAGUACCGUGAGGGAAAGGUGAAAAGUACCCUGAACAAGGGAGUGAAAUAGUUCCUGAAACCGUACGCUUACAAGCGGUAGGAGCCCUUCGGGGUGACUG
rnacentral:rRNA from 1 species